GUCUGGAGAUAAUUUAGAGCUAUUGGAUGAUAAUCAAUAAGCAAGGGUCAUCUCUAUUGCCAGACUCAAAGGUCUCUGAUCUAGCAAAUCAUCAAUUACUGCUGCCUAUUUUAGCCUUCCCGUUAGCCGUGUGACCCGAAUGGGUCCUCUUAUUCUUCAAGUAGACGAGGACAGGAGCUGCAGAGCAGUUUUCUGCUGAUGAAAUGAGGCUGCAGUGUGCUUGGGUUGGGGCCUGUCUCUAGCUUCUCUGCAGAGGACUUCACUCCUCUCCUCGAGUGGCCUGUGAGUGCCAGGCUUGUCAGGCUCUCAAGACUCGAAUGUAUGACAGGCGAGUCUCUGACCGGAGAAUCUUCAUUUGUAACAAGUGGUUUGAACUACACUUGGAGCCCUAACUGGGACGGUGAUGCACACGGGGGACUCUGCUCCAGGAAUCUGCAUUUUUAGCAAACUACCCAGGUGAAAAUACCAACAAGGAUGGAGAACCCAGUGGGGAAGAAUAAUUCUAACAGCUCUGUCAUCUGAAAUGCUUCCUUCUGUUAAUACUUCACAGAAAUGUUCCAGACCAAAUGUCGCUACCUAUGUGGUCCUCGAGCUUUUGUGCACAUUCCAAUCACCUUAGAAACUUUUAAAAAUCCUGAUAACAGUUCCAUAAGGAUACCUGGACAUGGGAUUCAAGCAUCCAUAUUGAAAUAAAGAUUUCAAUAUGCAGCAAAGUCUGGAAUAAACAAUGGUUACCCAAACAACCAAAGAUUCAGAACCUACCAUGGCUCUAAGACUCUGUGGAAU
ensembl:lncRNA